rnacentral:rRNA from 1 species
UACGUAGGGUGCGAGCGUUGUCCGGAAUUAUUGGGCGUAAAGAGCUCGUAGGCGGUGUGUCGCGUCGGCCGUGAAAACCUGCAGCUUAACUGUGGGCUUGCGGUCGAUACGGGCAUCACUGGAGUUCGGCAGGGGAGACUGGAAUUCCUGGUGUAGCGGUGAAAUGCGCAGAUAUCAGGAGGAACACCGGUGGCGAAGGCGGGUCUCUGGGCCGGUACUGACGCUGAGGCACGAAAGCGUGGGGAGCAAACAGG